rnacentral:rRNA from 1 species
GCAGUGUACCCGCGGCAAGACGGAAAGACCCCGUGAACCUUUACUAUAGCUUGACACUGAACAUUGAGCCUUGAUGUGUAGGAUAGGUGGGAGGCUUUGAAGCGUGGACGCCAGUCUGCGUGGAGCCGACCUUGAAAUACCACCCUUUAAUGUUUGAUGUUCUAACGUUGGCCCCUUACCGGGGUUGCGGACAGUGUCUGGUGGGUAGUUUGACUGGGGCGGUCUCCUCCCAAAGCGUAACGGAGGAGCACCAAG